GGCUCUGUGGUGCAAUUGGUUAGCAUACUCGACAAUUGAGAGAGAAAGCCCGAGAGGGUCUCAGAAUCGGUGGACAGUGUCCAAGAGGGUUCAGUUGGGUCGCGCCCAGCAGUGUUCGAGAGACCUCCGUUCAAUCCGGAGCAGAGCCA